rnacentral:rRNA from 1 species
CUACCUCCCCCUAGGAGUAAGGAGCCGAUAUCAGGCACAACACUCGCCCAAAACAUCUAGCCAUGCCACACCCACAAGGGUAUUCAGCAGUGAUUAACAUUAAAGAUAAACGUCAGUUUGACUUAGCCAAUGAAAAUAGAGCCGGCCAACCUGGUGCCAGCCGCCGCGGUUACACCACGUGGCUCAAAUUGAUUCCAUACGGCGUAAAGCGUGAUUAAAGAAAUAAACCAUCGGGGUUAAACUUAAACUAAGUUGUAAAAUACCUGUUUAUAGUAAACCUUAACUCGAAAGAUACCCCAACCCACCAACUUGAACUCACGAUAAUUAGGGUACAAACUGGGAUUAGAUACCCCACUAUGCCUAAUCAUAAACUUUUACUUACACCCCCUCCCCAUCGCCAGGGAACUACGAGCAAAGCUUAAAACCCAAAGGACUUGACGGUACCCCACACCCACCUAGAGGAGCCUGUCCUAUAACCGAUACCCCUCGUUCAACCUCACCAUUUUUAGUCUAUCAGCCUGUAUACUUCCGUCGCCAGCUUACCGCGUGAGCGAAUCAAGUAAGCUUAAUGUCAUUCAUCAGUACGUCAGGUCAAAGUGCAGUAAAUAAAGUGGCAAGAGAUGGGCUACACUCUCUAUCUUAGAAAAUACGAAAGACUGUAUGAAACUACAGUCAGAAGGUGGAUUUAGCAGUAAGAUGAAAAUAGAAUGUUCCUCUUAAUUAGGCACUGGGGUGUGUACACACCGCCCGUCACCCUCUUC